rnacentral:rRNA from 1 species
GGGGAGAAUCGGAUGUAAUUUUUUCUGUAGAUGUUGUGUGGUUAUAUUAUUUGCCUGAUUUCGAGUUAGUAUGAGAAAGUUACGCCUAUUUUAAGAAAUGACAC